GACGAAUGCUGGCGGCGUGCUUAACACAUGCAAGUCGAACGAAGAGCGAUGGACGCUUGCUUCUAUCAAUCUUAGUGGCGAACGGGUGAGUAACGCGUAAUCAACCUGCCCUUCAGAGGGGGACAACAGUUGGAAACGACUGCUAAUACCGCAUACGAUCUAAUCUCGGCAUCGAGGAUAGAUGAAAGGUGGCCUCUACAUGUAAGCUAUCACUGAAGGAGGGGAUUGCGUCUGAUUAGCUAGUUGGAGGGGUAACGGCCCACCAAGGCGAUGAUCAGUAGCCGGUCUGAGAGGAUGAACGGCCACAUUGGGACUGAGACACGGCCCAGACUCCUACGGGAGGCAGCAGUGGGGAAUCUUCCGCAAUGGACGAAAGUCUGACGGAGCAACGCCGCGUGAGUGAUGACGGCCUUCGGGUUGUAAAGCUCUGUUAAUCGGGACGAAAGGCCUUCUUGCGAAUAGUGAGAAGGAUUGACGGUACCGGAAUAGAAAGCCACGGCUAACUACGUG
rnacentral:rRNA from 1 species